rnacentral:tRNA from 1 species
GUGGGAAUGGCUCAGUGACAGAUCGCAUGCUUAGCAUGCACGAGGUCCUGGGUUCAAUCCCCAGUACCUCCA